rnacentral:rRNA from 1 species
CAGUCGCCGCGGGAAUACAGAGGGUGCGAGCGUUAAUCGGAUUUACUGGGCGUAAAGCGUGCGUAGGCGGCUUUUUAAGUCGGAUGUGAAAUCCCUGAGCUUAACUUAGGAAUUGCAUUCGAUACUGGGAAACUAGAGUAUGGGAGAGGAUGGUAGAAUUCCAGGUGUAGCGGUGAAAUGCGUAGAGAUCUGGAGGAAUACCGAUGGCGAAGGCAGCCAUCUGGCCUAAUACUGACGCUGAGGUACGAAAGCAUGGGGAGCAAACAGGAUUAGAUACCCCAGUAGUCCCUGUCUCUUAUAC